AUCCAGCUGACGAGUCCCAAAUAGUGGGACGAAAUGCGCAUCCUAGUGGAU
rfam:Trichobilharzia regenti genome assembly, scaffold: TRE_scaffold0014138